AUGUGCCAAGCAAGAACCACAGCCCCAACGGUCUUCCCAUUGCCGCCCUGCAGCCAAGACUCCUCAACUCCCUCCCAGGUCUCCAUAGGUUGCCUGAUCAAAGGCUACUUUCCUGAACCAGUCACAGUACAGUGGAAUUCAGGGGCCAUCACACGUGGCAUCCGGACCUUCCCUGCACUGUUGGAUUCAUCCAGGGGCCUCUACACCCUCAGCAGCCAGCUCACCAUCCCAACCAGCACCUGGGAAUCGGAGAAGUUCCAAUGCAAUGUUGCCCAUGCAGCUUCCAGUUCCAGAAUCAGCAAAGACAUUGAGCGCCAAACUGCAAAAUCACCAGUGGCCCCGGAGGUCCGCCUGCUCCAUUCUUCCUGCAAUCCCAGAUCCAGUGAUGCCACCAUUGAGCUGCUCUGCAUUAUCUCCAGGUUUUACCCCAAAACGGUGACGGUGGAAUGGCUGGUGGGUGGGCAAGCCGGGCAGCUGGCUUCAUUCACUGAGGAGCCCAAGAAGGAUGCCCAGGGAUACACCUUCAGUACCACAAGCACAGUCAAUGUUAGCCAAGAAGACUGGCAGGCUGGGAAUGUCUACUACUGCCAGGUGUUCCACGAAGCAACACAAACAAAGGUGAAGAGCCAAGCCAAGAAAUGUGAAGACCUGUACGUAAACAGCGACCCCAAACUCAUCUGCAUGGUAGAAAACCUGAUAGAUACAGAUGGGCUGAAAAUCAGCUGGUCACGGCAAACAUCAGGACCUGUGAGCCAAGAACUACUGGAAACUAAAGAAGAGGCUAAUGGAAAGUACACCGCUACGAAGGCCCUCUCUGCCACAACGUGGCUACAGGGAGAUAAAUUCACCUGCAAAGUGGAAUAUCCAGGCCUGGCUGCUCCCAUCAUUAGGACCGUUGCCAAGACGGCAGGCACGACCCAUGCUCCUGAGGUGUACCUUUUCCGGCCCCACCCUGAGGAAGUCCGUACUCGGCCAACUAUGCUGACCCUCACCUGCAUGAUCACUGGGUUCACCCCAGAACCAAUUUCUGUCCAGUGGCUGAAGAAUCACAACGCUAUACCUGAAGAUCACCAUGUCAACACCCCAGUCAUGAAGGACAACAACAACCAUUUCAUGUACAGCCAACUGAAAAUCCCAUUAACUGACUGGGACAAUGGAAAUGCGUACACCUGCAUGGUUAUCCACGAAGCCCUCCCCAUGAAGUUCACCCAGAGGACCGUGGAGAAAUCCCAGGGUAAAAAAUGA